rnacentral:rRNA from 1 species
UACGAAGGGGGCUAGCGUUGCUCGGAAUUACUGGGCGUAAAGCGCUCGUAGGCGGCUUUGUCAGUUAGAGGGGAAAGCCCGGAGCUCAACUCCGGAACUGCCUUUAAGACUGCAUCGCUUGAACGUCGGAGAGGUAAGUGGAAUUCCGAGUGUAGAGGUGAAAUUCGUAGAUAUUCGGAAGAACACCAGUGGCGAAGGCGACUUACUGGACGACUGUUGACGCUGAGGUGCGAAAGCGUGGGGAGCAAACAGG